rnacentral:rRNA from 1 species
UACGGAGGGUGCAAGCGUUAUCGGAUUCACUGGGUUUAAAGGGUGCGUAGGCGGACAGGUAAGUCAGUGGUGAAAUCUCUGGGCUUAACCCAGAAACUGCCGUUGAUACUAUUUGUCUUGAAUAUCCUGGAGGUAGGCGGAAUAUGUCAUGUAGCGGUGAAAUGCUUAGAUAUGACAUAGAACACCGAUAGCGAAGGCAGCUUACUACAGGAUGAUUGACGCUGAGGCACGAAAGCGUGGGGAGCAAACAGG